AUGACUUAACAGCAAUGUUCUUUGAUAUGAUGGAACAGCUAUUUGUUUUAUGUUCAAUUCUUUUGGAUGAAGAAAACUUACUCUGUGCUACUUACAAGGACUGUCUUCUUCCUUCUCAUUUGGAAAUAGAGAAAAAAGCAGUUUGAAAGGCAGAAUCUUUGAAAAACACUACUCCAGAGAACCUUGUUUCCAGGAAAAUAUUAAUCCUUAUAUGCAGGAAUCUAAUAUGAAGCAACGCAACAAAACUGCAAGGAGAAAACAGAGUACGUACCAAUGUAUCUAAACAUCCAACGACCUCAAAUGCAUAGUCGACACCAUGACCAGUCAUUUCAACCAGUAACUCCUGAAUGGGCUUCUUGUAAUCUUGCGGGUUAAGACACUCUGUGGCUCCCAAUUCUUUUGCUUUCAGAAAUUUGUCUUUGUUGAUGUCAAUCCCAAUGAUCCGGGAAGCUCCAGCAGCUUUGCAGCCCAUGACCACAGAAAGACCCACUCCUCCCAAACCAAAGAUGGCACAAGUGGAGCCAGGCAUGACCUAUAAAAGGCACGGAGAAAAGAGGCCAGGAUCAAUGCCAGCUUUGGAAUGGGACAUACUAAAAGAGAAGAUAUUCUAAGUGGCAUGUAUGGAGCAGUAAUAGAAUACUUUCAUGAGCUGCCUCACCUGAGCUGUAUUGAGGGCAGCCCCAUAACCGGUGGAAAACCCACAGCCAAAGAGGCAGACUUUAUCCAAUGGAGCAGCAGCAUCAAUUUUAACUACGGUAGAGUCAGGCAUGACAGUGUAUUCGGAGAAAGUGCUGAUCCAAAGGAAGUGGUGGAUUAGCUUUCCUUUGCAGGUAAACCGGCUAGUUUUGUCUGGCAUCAGAUUCUGAGGUUCAUUGAGGCUGUUUCAGAAAAACUGGAGUUGUCAGUAACAACACACAUCCCUCUGCAAUGUUCAUUGCUCAUAACCCAUAGCCAAGUGAAAUGCAAGAGAAAUUGCCAAAUGAACUCACUGGGUUUUCAGGCAACAAUUGGUAUUAGAUUUUAGACAUGAGCUACAUUCUCCGCACUGAGGCAAACAAAGUGGGAUGACUUUGUCUCCUAGAAAUAAAAGAAGUUGGAUAAAUAAACACACAUGAUGAUCCUGUAUCUACAACCAAUUUAUGAACAGCAAAGCCCCAUACAUUAACUUGUCUUGUGCUUGCAGGAUGAUAAAAUACACAUUAAAGCACCUUCAUAAAUUAAGACUGCAAAUUGUGCGUAUCUAUCUAUUGCCUCUGCUACCAGCAGCCUUUGUGGCAUUCAAAUAAUCUCAUACAUAUCCAAAUUUACUGCGACUGUGUGAUUACAAUUCAUAUCUAUGAUGCUUUUAAAUGCUGGAAUCCAUCCUCCUAUAUACCUGGAUUUAGGCCAGUCACUCCUUCGCCAACACUCUCUACAAUUCCAGCUCCUUCGUGGCCUGGGAUAACAGGAUAAUUGACUUUGGGGAAAGAACCUGACAGAACGUGGUCGUCGGUCCCACAUAUUCCCGUGGCUAUUAUCUAUAAGAUACAACAUUUGGUCAACCCCAUAGAUAAAACUAUAGACAUUCAUAUAGGCACUAAUAUGUUAAGCUGUCUUUGAGGCUUACUUGGAAGCUGCAGUGGCUUGACUAUGGACUCGACAAACAUGUGGGCAUCAUAUACAUUAUUGGUAUCAAUUGUUUCAUCCAAUAAAAUAUGCAUUUUCUAGGUCUUGCAGGAGCAAUUUCCAAGAAGGCCAACUUCAUCUCUGUCCCAUCUAACAAUAGCUUGGAAACCAUGGCAGAAUCUUUAUGUGGAAUUUCAAAAUUUUAUAUAGUGCACUGUCAAUUUAAAAAAAAAAAAUUCACUGGUUUUUCAAUGGGUGUCUGAAACAAUAAAAAUGCAACAUAGCCAUGUUCCUUGCAGAUCACAAAUUCCCAGUCAUUAAUAUCUGCUACCCUCCUCUUAGCUGCCUAUUCAUGCAGGCUACGUAUACAAGAAAAGUACAAGUCAAGAAGUCAAUUCAGAAAGAGGACCAACAAUGCUAGAUUUCCUGGUCCUUGAAGCAGUGAGGGCUGGAGGUUCUCCAUGUUAGCGGAGAUGAAUCUGUUUUGGGUUUUAAUCUGAAUGCUAAAUGAGUUACUAGGGUGUUGAAUGUCGUUUGUUCAGCACUUUGGACAGAUCCUUUAAAAGUAGAGACUCAGCCUAAGGGUUUGCUAGGAAAAAUCUGGUCUACCUUGACGCGAACUUCAUGAGACUUUGGUGGAGCAACUUCUAUCUCUUCAAUAGAAAGUGGCUUGCCUAUUUCCCAGGCGACUGCAGCCUUACAUUUUAUAAUCUGUAGGGGGGAAAAAGAGAGAUGUUUAUUCUAUUUUAACUAUGUUAUAGAUGAUGUAACUUUGUUUUUAAAUAGAUUUUUUGUGUUAACUUUCUAUUAUCCCUUGCUUAACUGUAUCCUAUUUUGAUUGAAUAAUGUCAACCACCUUGGUUCCUAUGAAA